ensembl:lncRNA
AGGACAGGGAAGCCCCAGAGUGCUUCAGGAAGCAGCACGUGCCUGGCCACCUCCUUCCUGUCCACCUGCUCAUAAGGACCUUCUCCACCAAAUCAUCACAGCCAAGCAGGUGGCCUGGCCAAGCCCCAGGACUCUGUGACAACACUCAGAACAAUAUCUUGCUUAUUCAUGACCUCUUCUUGGCCACCUCCAGUUUGAAUGGACCUUCCCAAUGCAUGCAUUUCAUCUCUGACUCAAUUCUAAUCUUCUAUCGCUAUUGGCUCAGCAGUAAAGAAUCCACCUGCCAAUGCAGGAGAUGCAGGUUUGAUNNNNNNNNNNNNNNNNNNNNCUGGAGGAGGAAAUGGCAACCUACUCCAGCAUUCUUGCCUGAAAAAUCCCAUGGACAGAGGAGCCUAGUGGGAUACAGUCCACGGGGUUGCAAAGAGUUGGGCAUGACCGAGCAACUGAGCACACACUGUUAUUUUUUUUUCACAUUGUUAUUUAAAAAUGACUGACUCUCACUCGAUCCCAGCACCAUGCAGGUACUCAGAAGAGCUUAGUAAAUAUCUUUGUCUUUGACUACACUUGAAAAUAAUAUAUUUAAGGAGAUUAAAAAAGAACUUCAUGAGAAAAUGACAAUAUAAGGACAAAAUGAUGCUAUGAACACAAAAGUCACAAAUCCUGAGGGAGCAUUGAAAAAAUAAGUAAAUCAGAGAGAGGGGCCAUUAAUCUGGGAGGGCUUCUUAGAAAAGGUAAGUUUUGAACCAGCUACUAAGAGAAAUAGAGAAUAUAUUAGAAUUGCAAGCAACAGCAAUCUAAUUCAAAGUAGCUUAAGCCCAAAAAGACAAGAAAAAGUAGGAAGGGGGAGGGAAGGAGUCAAGGAGGAAAAACACAGGGGAACUGCAUUGACUCAUGAAUGAAAUGUAGGCAUGGCUGGAUCCAGACUUUUAACCUCCUGGACGGAAGAAUUCAGUCCGGCUUGUUGCCUCUCUCCGCUGACUCGAGAAUCCAGCCGGAGUCGCUACGUCACACUUCCUGCAGCAGCCCAAGGGUCAGGAGUUCACCCGCUGAACCGUUUGCCUGGGGAGCCGUGGUCCUAAUAAGCAUGACAUCCUCCCCCAAAGCUUCAGCAGCUGUGUUUCCCCCUGGCUCGGAAGGGAAGGAACCAAAUAAAGCAGCAGGAGGAAUUACGUGGUGCAGAACUGCUCAGCGUGGGAUUCCAGGUCCAAAGGUCAGAUGCUCAAUUAUGGUUUUGAGGAGGUCAGGCUUGGGGGUUUUGCCUCAGUUUUCCUGUUGCUAAAAUGGAGGGAGAGGGGAUCGUUUCUGGGAAACGAGCGGUGUCUGAUAAAGUAGGAACUUCACCCAGGUUCCAACAGUCGCCCAAAACCAAGCCAACCCUUUUUUAUAGAGAACUUUCUAGACUGCCAAACCCACCCUAGGUGCAGAGAACUGCAAUCCAGCUGAGCUUGCAUCUUCAAUUCUCGGUCUACACUUUUCACUGGAUGAAGCAGAAAUCUGGAAGGCUGAACCACCAGCUGAUGGCUUAAGGCCCCCAAGCAUCUCUCCCAGGCGAUGGAAGACUGGCAGAGGGCUAGAAGCUGGGCAGACAAAAGUGUCCCAGUCCCUAGAACCUGUGCUCCUACAUUAUUCCUGGGAGCACCAACGUAAAAGAGAUUUCUGAGAACUCACAACCUACCACUCACCACCAAAGGCAACAGGAGCGGAGAGAUCGAGGGGCUGCAAAGUUUGGGAGGGGGUUGAAGAGGAACUAAACACCUGACUAGAUCAGAACAGGCGAGAGAGAAGGGGGCUCCUGGCUGUUAGUCUAGGACUCAAAAUUAUUAUUAUUUUUAAAACCAGUAGGAAAAAAAUUUAACCUGAAUGAAACACCUCUGUGUACUAGGCUAGGGAGCACACAGCCAAGUAUAAAGGGCAGAGCCCAUUUGGGGGGCAAGACUGGCUCUAAGGCACUUGUAAUGGUGCUUCCAAAGGACGCAUCUAACAAAAUCACUUAAAUGGAAAUUAGGCCAAGUCCUGGCAAUUGUAUUAGAGGAUUUUCGUUGCCAGUGGCAGCCACCCAGUUUAAACUGGCUUAAGCCAACAUCGGAAAUUUACUGCCUCACUGGCCUAAAACAAAAACCAGGGGUUCGAGCUUCAGGCGUAGUUGGAUCCAGGCUCAGACAGUGCCAUGAAGACUCAGCCCCCUCCUCUCAGCCCUGCUUCCCUCCACACCAGCUUCAUUCUGAGAUGCUAUGUGGCAUCCCCAGGAGGCUGAAGGCUUACAACCUCCUUCCUGCUAGCAAUUGCAGAGGAAAAAGAGCUUCUCUUUCCCAAGGGCCUUCAUUGACCCCUUUUGUGGCACAGUCAUUGUGCAGGGAGAAGGAUCCGUUGAUUGGUCAGACUGCAGCCAUGGACAGAGUUUCAUAUGAGGGUCUGGAACUUCAUGAGAAAAGCCUGGUCUGGAGAUUUAAAAAAAAAAAAAAAAAAAAAAAGGACUCAUCGGGAUAGAGAUGUUACCAGUUUUGCUAUUACUGGGCCGUGGGGUCUUGGGCAAGCCAGUGACCCACUGUGAACCUCUGUCUCCUCUUCUGCAGAAGAGUGACAGCAUCUCCUGCAGAGGCCAACUAAGAGAACUUAGGUGAAUUACCUAGCACAGAGUGUUCAACAGAUAGUGGCUGCUCUUCUAUUUUUCUGGGUUUCCCAGGUGGUGCUAGUGGUAAAGAACCCGCCUGCCAAUGCAGGANNNNNNNNNNNNNNNNNNNNNNNNNNNNNNNNNNNNNNNNNNNNNNNNNNNNNNNNNNNNNACCCACUCCAGUAUUCUUGCCUGGAGAACCCUAUGGACAGAGGAGCCUGGGGUCGUGAAGAGUCAGACACGACUGAAGUCACUUAGCACAGCACGCAUUCCUUUUUCUAUUUGUUUCUCACUUGAGUUGCCCCUUGCCUGUUUCUACCUUAAGACUGCUGGAGGCUCACUCUUCGGCACUCUUCAGUACUCUUGCCUGGAAAAUCCCAUGGAUGGAGGAGCCCGGUAGGCUGC